AGGUUCUCAACAACAUCCUGGUUUAAUUUCCUUGUUAAAAUAAAAGACAGCCCUCUUGCAUUUAAAUCGUUAAACAAAUUAACAAGUGAUGUAUUUGAGAUAGCUAUACCUAGAAACAUAAAAGGUUAAAUUAAAAAAUUGUAUAGAUUUAAAAAUAAUAUUUUUACCUUUUUGAAAUGGUAAAAGAUAAUUCUUUCCAUGAACUCUCAUAUUUGUAAUGAAAUUUGUCAUUUUUGUUAAUAAAUCAUUUUGUUUUUCUAAAUUUAGACCAUAACUUUCAGUUCCUUUAUCGAAUUUGUGUUGUGUAUUCAAUAAAUCAAACCAAUCAUUAAAAAGUCCAAUGACCUCAGAAGCCUAAUAAUAUUUGUACUUAUCAAUCAUAUGUUGUUGGCCACAGAACGAAAGUGCCUUUGACACUGUAUUAGAAAAUACAUUGACGGCUAACCUUACAUUCAUUCGUUCAGAUCCUUUGACAUUAAUGUGACGCUCUGUAUGUUAAACAGUUGUCAAAAAUGUUUUACCUCUAGCCACAACGGUUUGAACACACUUAUGCGGUCCAUACACUUUCUCAUACUUUUUGUCAUAGCAUAUUCUAUGAGAAACAUAAGUCUCGUCAAAUGAUAACACUGUAAUUUUCUCUUCAGAAGUUAAAUGGACACCUUUAACAUGUGGAUUUAUCAAUGUAAUGUAAUUUUUUAUUAAAUACAAUAUUCUCAUAAAUUAC